rnacentral:lncRNA from 1 species
CGCAUAAGUAGUAUUACUGGUAUUACAGUGGGUCACAGAUAAAGAGAUAAAGAACAAAAUCCCUAGAAAUGAGAUGCUUAUUAUGUGCCAGCCCUGGUGGAUCUCCACCCAGCUUGAUGAGUCUCACAGUAAAUGAGCUGCGCUGUCCUUAGACUUGGGGCAGCGCAAGGGCCAGUCACACCCUCCCCACACACACUUGUUAUGCCUGCAAAGGACUGUGACUUUUCUUCACCUAUGGGCUGGGCCAGGCAUGACACUGCAAGUGCUCUUUGUAGCAAAGGCCUCCCAGUUCUCAGCUGCAUCGCGCUUUAAAUAUCUACAGUGUGAGAAGCUACCUUAUGUCAUCCCAUCUGUGAAGACAUGCAAGCAGAGCAUUCGUUUUUUCCCAAUUAACUAAAAAUGGAUUUACUAAAAGGAAUAUUUCACCCUCAGCUUUUAAAAAUAUCAUUUGCAAAGCCCAAGUAGAUAUUCUGAGAGGAAAAACGGCAAUUAGAGUGGUCAAAUAAUAAGCAUAAACAAUUAAUACCAUUUUAAAAUAUUGUAAUAUUUUUGGCCUGUUGACAGGG